ensembl:lncRNA
CCAGGACUAAACCAGGACUAAACCAGGUCUAAACCAGGACUAAACCAGGACUAAACCAGGACUAAACCAGGUCUAAACCAGGGCUAAACCAGGACUAAACCAGGACUAAACCAGGUCUAAACCAGUACUAAACCAGGACUAAACCAGGUCUAAACCAGGACUAAACCAGGACUAAACCAGGACUGAACCAGGACUAAACCAGGUCUAAACCAGGACUAAACCAGGACUAAACCAGGACUGAACCAGGACUAAACCAGGUCUAAACCAGGACUAAACCAGGACUAAACCAGGACAAAACCAGGACUAAACCAGGACUAAACCAGGUCUAAACCAGGACUAAACCAGGACUAAACCAGGUCUAAACCAGGACUAAACCAGGACUAAACCAGGACUAAACCAAGACUAAACCAGGACUAAACCAGGACUAAACCAGGACUAAACCAGGUCUAAAACAGGACUAAACCAGGACUAAACCAAGACUAAACCAGGACUAAACCAGGUCUAAACCAGGACUAAACCAGGUCUAAACCAGGACUAAACCAGGACUAAACCAGGACUAAACCAAGACUAAACCAGGACUAAACCAAGACUAAACCAGGACUAAACCAGGUCUAAACCAGGACUAAACCAGGUCUAAACCAGGUCUAAACCAGGACUAAACCAGGAAUAAACCAGGACUAAACCAGGACUAAACCAGGACUAAACCAGGACUAAACCAAGACUAAACCAGGACAAAACCAGGACUAAACCAGGACUAAACCAAGACUAAACCAGGACUAAACCAGGACUAAACCAGGACUAAACCAGGUCUAAAACAGGACUAAACCAGGACUAAACCAAGACUAAACCAGGACUAAACCAGGUCUAAACCAGGACUAAACCAGGUCUAAACCAGGUCUAAACCAGGACUAAACCAGGACUAAAACAGGACUAAACCAGGACUAAACCAUGUCUAAACCAGGA